UACGGAGGGGGCUAGCGUUGUUCGGAAUUACUGGGCGUAAAGCGCACGUAGGCGGCUUUGCAAGUUAGAGGUGAAAGCCCGGAGCUCAACUCCGGAAUUGCCUUUAAAACUGCAUCGCUAGAAUUGUGGAGAGGUGAGUGGAAUUCCGAGUGUAGAGGUGAAAUUCGUAGAUAUUCGGAAGGACACCAGUGGCGAAGGCGACUCACUGGACACAUAUUGACGCUGAGGUGCGAAAGCGUGGGGAGCAAACAGG
rnacentral:rRNA from 1 species